rnacentral:rRNA from 1 species
GGAUCAUUACAGAGUUGCAAAACUCCCUAAACCAUUGUGAACGUUACCUUCAAACCGUUGCUUCGGCGGGCGGCCCGGGUCCGCCCGGUGCCCCCUGGCCCCCUAGCGGGGCGCCCGCCGGAGGAAAACCCAACUCUUGAUUAUUAUGGCCUCUCUGAGUCUUCUGUACUGAAUAAGUCAAAACUUUCAACAACGGAUCUCUUGGUUCUGGCAUCGAUGAAGAACGCAGCGAAAUGCGAUAAGUAAUGUGAAUUGCAGAAUUCAGUGAAUCAUCGAAUCUUUGAACGCACAUUGCGCCCGCCAGUAUUCUGGCGGGCAUGCCUGUUCGAGCGUCAUUUCAACCAUCAAGCCCCAGGCUUGUGUUGGGGACCUGCGGCUGCCGCAGGCCCUGAAAACCAGUGGCGGGCUCGCUGUCACACCGGGCGUAGUAGAUUUUAUCUCGCUCUGGGCGUGCUGCGGGUUCCGGCCGUUAAAAAACCCUUUUAACCCAAGGUUGACCUCGGAUCAGGUAGGAAUACCCGCUGAACUUAAGCAUAUCAAUAAGCGGAGGA